rnacentral:misc_RNA from 1 species
UCCGAGUUGACCCCGGCAGUCUCCUGCGAGUCCCCGCCAUUACGCGCUGGCAACACAGGACAAGGGUUGCGCUCGUUGCGGGACUUAACCCAACAUCUCACGACACGAGCUGACGACAGCCAUGCAGCACCUGUGCACGGACUCCGAAGAGGGGCCCUCGUUUCUGAGGGCUUUCCCCUGCAUGUCAAGCCUAGGUAAGGUUCUUCGCGUUGCGUCGAAUUAAACCACAUGCUCCACCGCUUGUGCGGGCCCCCGUCAAUUCCUUUGAGUUUCAGCCUUGCGGCCGUACUCCCCAGGCGGGGCACUUAAUGCGUUAGCUUCGGCACGGAGAACGUGGAAUGUCCCCCACACCUAGUGCCCACCAUUUACGGCGUGGACUAC